AUACGAAGGGUGCAAGCGUUACUCGGAAUUACUGGGCGUAAAGCGUGCGUAGGUGGUUGUUUAAGUCUUGUCGUGAAAGCCCUGGGCUCAACCUGGGAAUUGCGAUGGAAACUGGGCGACUAGAGUGUGGCAGAGGGUAGUGGAAUUCCUGGUGUAGCAGUGAAAUGCGUAGAGAUCAGGAGGAACAUCCGUGGCGAGGGCGACUGCCUGGGCCAACACUGACACUGAGGCACGAAAGCGUGGGGAGGC
rnacentral:rRNA from 1 species